rnacentral:rRNA from 1 species
GGAAAGGCGCGCGAUACAGGGUGACAGCCCCGUACACAAAAAUGCACAUGCUGUGAGCUCGAUGAGUAGGGCGGGACACGUGGUAUCCUGUCUGAAUAUGGGGGGACCAUCCUCCAAGGCUAAAUACUCCUGACUGACCGAUAGUGAACCAGUACCGUGAGGGAAAGGCGAAAAGAACCCCGGCGAGGGGAGUGAAAAAGAACCUGAAACCGUGUACGUACAAGCAGUGGGAGCACAGAGCAAUCUGUGUGACUGCGUACCUUUUGUAUAAUGGGUCAGCGACUUAUAUUCUGUAGCAAGGUUAACCGAAUAGGGGAGCCGAAGGGAAACCGAGUCUUAACUGGGCGUUAAGUUGCAGGGUAUAGACCCGAAACCCGGUGAUCUAGCCAUGGGCAGGUUGAAGGUUGGGUAACACUAACUGGAGGACCGAACCGACUAAUGUUGAAAAAUUAGCGGAUGACUUGUGGCUGGGGGUGAAAGGCCAAUCAAACCGGGAGAUAGCUGGUUCUCCCCGAAAGCUAUUUAGGUAGCGCCUCGUGAAUUCAUCUCCGGGGGUAGAGCACUGUUUCGGCAAGGGGGUCAUCCCGACUUACCAACCCGAUGCAAACUGCGAAUACCGGAGAAUGUUAUCACGGGAGACACACGGCGGGUGCUAACGUCCGUCGUGAAGAGGGAAACAACCCAGACCGCCAGCUAAGGUCCCAAAGUCAUGGUUAAGUGGGAAACGAUGUGGGAAGGCCCAGACAGCCAGGAUGUUGGCUUAGAAGCAGCCAUCAUUUAAAGAAAGCGUAAUAGCUCACUGGUCGAGUCGGCCUGCGCGGAAGAUGUAACGGGGCUAAACCAUGCACCGAAGCUGCGGCAGCGACGCUGAUGCGUUGUUGGGUAGGGGAGCGUUCUGUAAGCCUGUGAAGGUGUGCUGUGAGGCAUGCUGGAGGUAUCAGAAGUGCGAAUGCUGACAUAAGUAACGAUAAAGCGGGUGAAAAGCCCGCUCGCCGGAAGACCAAGGGUUCCUGUCCAACGUUAAUCGGGGCAGGGUGAGUCGACCCCUAAGGCGAGGCCGAAAGGCGUAGUCGAUGGGAAACAGGUUAAUAUUCCUGUACUUGGUGUUACUGCGAAGGGG